UGCAUUGUUCAUAUGAAAUAUUAAAUAUCUAAUAAUGUCGUAAGGUCUAUCGAUUUUCACUAGAAAAUCACUAAUUUGUAAGACCCAAAUACACCUCUCUUAUAAAAAUAAGCUGUUAUCUUCAUUCUUAAUGUAAGAAUAGCCUCAAGUCACCGAUUCAACACACACACCCACGCACACAAACUGAAGAUCAUAUGCUCAUCAAGGAGCAAAUGUACAUUUGCUACCCUGGGCAAAAACCUAGGUAGGAGUAUUUUUUGGGGCCACAAAUAUUGUGGUUGUGACCUAUUCAACCUACGAACCACCCUUUAAAAGAAAAAAGUUGAAUAGAGACGUUGAAUCAGCCUAAAAAGAAUCAAGCCCAAGGAUUUCAUACAAGCCCUCCAAUUUUCAGAACAUAGAUCUAGGUAUUUAGGUACUUAAAUCCAUUUUUACUUUUUUGAAAACAUUCAUCUUGUGAUUUUUUUCCUCCACCAAAGAAUGGUAUUUGUGCUAAUACAAAAAGAUGCUAAACUCACUAAUUUGAACCAUUUUAUUGAGGUCAGCGAGUAAAUGUACUAGUGUAAAGACAGAAAGUAGAUGAAAAGCAAAGAAAAUUAUAGUUGUCUGGAAGCUAGCUCUCUUAUUAAAGAGAUGCUUCUAAGGUUAGAGAGCUAAAGAGUCUUUCUAUUUCAAAUGAUUGAUAUCUCUUCAUUUUCAGUGUUUUUUUUUAUUUAUAAUGUUAACCUUUAAUUAAGAAAAGAGUGUACAAAAGCCUUGACGAACCACCAAAAAUGAGCUCAAGGAGAGAAGAAAGGAGAGAAAGUGGGAUCGAGGCUCCUUCGAGAAGUUAGUGUUAAGGGACAGCAACCUAAGAAAAGAAGCCGAACCACCAUACAAAAAGAGUAGAAAAAGAAAAAAAACAAAAAGAGGGAAAGCCUUCUAGUUUCCAGUCAUCUCCGCUGCUUCUUUUGCAAGGGUAUCAGCUUCCUGGUUUCCUUCCCUCCAAAUAUGUGUCCACACGACAAACGUAUUCUUGCAGAGGUAAAGAAUCUGAUCAACUGUAUGAGCCAAAAACCAGGGGGGGAGGUUGUAGGAUUGUGAGCCCAGGUGUUCCUGGAGUCACCCGCUACGAUGAGAGAGGGCAAGUUGAAAUGUUGGAUGAGUUGUAAGCCUUCUAAAAGGGCUAUCACCUCAGCCUACAUCGAGUCUUUAUGGCCAAUGUGUUCGGAAACUGAAGCCACAGUAGAGCCGAGGUGGUCUCUAAGGAUGGCUCCAAUUCCUGACGGCCCUAGGUUGCCGAGGGAACAUCCGUCGAUGUUGAGUUUAAGCAUCCCCUGGGGAGCUGGCUUCCAAAGAGAAGACCUGGAAGGGCGAGAGCAGUGAUGUCGAAGGACAUUACUCCAACAUUGGUGAAAGGCCGAGGUCGGGAUGCCUUUGAAUCGAGGGUGAUUUGUGGCCUAGAAGAUGAUGGUAGAUUUGAGCUUGUUGAAGAUUUUGGACCAAGGGGAGUACUCCCCCUGAAAAUCCUGUGGUUACGCUCAAUUCAUAAGGCCCACAUGGAUGCAGCCACCGCUGAUUUCCAGAGGAUAAUCCUUUAAUUGGGACAAGGAAAAGGCUUGAUGGAGGAGAGAAUCAAAGUCACUUCUGCAGGCAGUACCCAUUCGACGUUGAACAACAUGAGGACUGCCACCCAAAGAUUGAAGGCGUAGGGACAGUGUAAAAAGAGGUGAUUAUCAGUCUCCUCCUCGGCUAGACACAAGACACAACGAUUGGGAAGUGGGAUGCCACGUCUUUGGAGCUGAUCAACAGUCAGUACUCCCUUGAAGAGGGCCAACCACAAAAAAAUCUUAAUAUAUUUGGGGGAGCUAAGAAAUCCCAGGCCUGGGCCGCAAUAGAUGUGGGUGCUAGGGGAAAUGUGGGAGGUAGCGACAGGCUACGAUAAAAGGAGGACACCGUGAAGGAGCCACUACUAGGAGUCAUCCAGAUGAAGCGAUCGUUGACCGCAAGAGCUAAGAAGCAGGCUUGUAGUUCUACCGAUAGAGAGGCGAAACUUGAAAGCUCUAGGUCAUUGAGAGUUCUCCUAAAGACUAGGUUCCAAGUGCGAGGGAUCCCAGUCAACAGCAUUUCUUGGGCUGUUGUUGUCCCUUGAUCUCUAGCAAGAUGGUAGAGAUCAAGAUGUUUGUCUCUAAGAGGGGUGUGACCCAGACAUAGAUCAACCAAAAGAGGAUUCGGUUCCCUGAUCUAGGAUGAAAUCUAAUUCAAGGUAUCACACCCCAAAUUUACUAACAUUCUUGCGGUGAGACAUACUAUUCUUAUAUAUAUAUAUAUAUAACAAUAUUCAGAAUUUCUACUUAUGUAUUGCACCAAAACGAAUUUUUCCAUUUCUAAAAAUUUGUACAAGUUCUACUCACAACCAAUAUUAACAGGAAGGUUCAUUCAGAAGUUUCCCAACUGUACAAAGUACACUUUUAACUUGUGUUAGCAUGAAGGUUCAUACAUUUACAAUUUUGAUAGAACAAAAAUUACAAAAAUAUUUGAUCUUGAGUACAAUUUCUUCGAAGCUACUCCUGUUGUACAACGCAUGAUAAGGCUGUCAUUACUCUGAAAAGAAUUCACAACAGUUUGAUGAGCUUGACUACUCAGUAAGUGGCCAUCAUUAUCCCAAAUUCAUAAUUGGAAAAUGUAAUAGUUUUUAAAAGACUUCAUAUUAAAACAAUACGAAGAGGAACAUAGAUGAAGAACAGUUUUAAGUUCAGAAACACACAAUUUAAUAUAAUCCCAAGCAUUGAGCUGCAUACAAAUACUUUGACAAAAAUGCAUAAUACAAGAGAUUUCACAAAAUACCCUACUGGCGUCCCAAGUAGGUAACCUAUAUAUCCCACUAGCGUCCUGGAUGGGUCCACUUCAUCCCUGCAGGUCCAAUCAUACCUCACCAGCGUACCGGAUGAAUCCACUUAAUCCCUACCGACGUACUGGAUAGGUUCACUUAAUACCUGCAGGUCCAAUCAUACCUCACCGGCGUACCGGAUGAGUCCACUUUAUCCCUACUGGCGUACCAGGUAGGUCUACUUAUACGUAAAUUAUCUCUGGAACUCUUUAAACAUCAUAAAGCAACAAUAUCGUAUAUUUAAAACAUCAUUGAAAUCCUUAACGUGAAUUCAAAUGAAUCAUUUCAUAAUAAUCACUUUCAUUGAAAUAUCUACAAGUCGCCAGUCAAACAUUUUGGGUAAUAAUUUCAGAAAGGUAGUAGUUUGAAAAGACAUUCUUGAAAUGAAACAUGAUAGACAGUCUAAUAUCAAUAGAAAAACUCUUAUGAGAACUCAAAAUUAAAUACGGAAUUCUCAUAAUUUAUGGGAAUGCAAAUACGCAAAUAAUCAUUUCACAUGAAUAGAUAGUGUUCAGACGGACAAAAUACAAUUAAAUACAGAAAUACGUGAAUCUUACAGUAGUGGCAAUACUACAAUCGAGAUACAUAUCUCAUGAUUAGAGUGAGGUGUCUCAUGGUGGCUAUUAUUCAAAUAAAAAAAAAUGACACAUGGAUGCCAUGUGUCAAGUGUAUAUUGAGUCCAACCCUUAUAAAUACCCCAUUGGCCCCUUAAAAAAAGCAUCAAUUGGUCCUCUCUCUCCUCUCCAAUAGGAGCUCCUCUCUCUCUCUACAUAAGUUCCUUCUCUCUCUCACUCAUUUCAAUUUCAAUUAUUCCUUUCCCUCCCUCAUCAUGCUCUCAUAAUAGUGCAAUUUUAAUAAGUGGUUAUUAUCAUCUCAUCAUGCUCUCAUAAUAGUGUAAUUUUAAUAAGUUAUUAUCAUCUCAUCAUGCUCUCAUAAUAGUGUAAUUUUAAUCAGUUUUUAUUAUCAUCUCAUCAUGCUCUUGUAAUUUUCAUUCUCAUCUCUCCCUCAUCAUCUCUCAUUAUAAUCAUCAUGAGCAUAAUUUUAAUAGUUUUCAAUUAUUCUCUCUCUCCCUCAUCAUACUCUCAUCAUGAGCAUAAUUUUAAUAGUUUUCAUUAUUGUCUCUCCCUCAUCAAAUCUCUCUCAUAAUGAUAGUAAUGAUGUUCUCAUUAUUAUAAAAUAUUACCUUCUUAGAAUAGUAGUCUUAAUUUCAUGACAUUCUCAUACAUUAUAGUAUAAUGAUUUCAUUCCCAUAUAUCAUUGUAUUCAUAUCGUGAAUAUAUUAAAUUAUAAUAUUUCACUCUCAUACAUGAUAUUAUUCUCAUAUCAUCCCCAUAUAGUAUAUCAUUGUCAAUCCCAGAGUAUUUCUAUAAUAGUAUUUUCAUUCCCAUAUCAUUCUCAUAUAUUAUAUUAUUAUGAUAGUUUGUUCAUUUUCAUGACAUUCUCACGCAUCAUCUCUCAUAAUUUGAAUAAUAUACUCACGAAGUACUAUUUUCUCAUAACGAUAGUAUUAUUUUAAUGAUUCUGUAAUAUUUCCUCUUCCUUAUGAAUAUAUUCUCUCUCCAUAAAAAGAAAACUCAUUUGACCCUUGUCCCACACCUUUAAUUGAACACCAGUAAUCUCGAUCAAACUCUGAUAGCAGUAGCCAUAUACCCAACUCGUGACCUAUAAAUAUAAGUGACCUCAUUCUCCUGAAAAUUAGUUCGCUUUUAAUAAAAUUAUGAUAUUCUGUACAUCACUUUUAUAAGUGUUAUGCGUAAAUGAUUUCAUUUUCUUGUAAAGUAGAACUAGUAAUUCCUCUUUUAGUAAAAUUGUGAGAUUUCCUUUUAUUGUUUUGAAUAUUUAGACACUGUAAAAUUCAUGUGCAAAUGACUUCAUUCUCCUAUAAAAUCAUUAUUCGAAAAACUGAUAUUUCUGCACUUGAUUGUAGUAUUGUCACUACUGUAAGAUUCACACAUUUCAGUAUUUAAUUGUAUUUUGUUUGUUUGAACGCUAUUUAUUCCUGUGAAAUGAUUACGUAUUUGCAUUCCCAUAAAUUGUGAUGAUUCCGUAUUUAAUUUUGAGUUCUCAUAAGAGUUCUUCUAUUGAUACUAGACUGUCUAUCAUAUUACAUUUCAAGAAUGUCUUUUCGAACUGCUACCUUUCUGAAAUUAUUGCCCAAAAUGGUUGACUGACUACUUAUAGAUAUUUCAAUAAAAGUGAUUAUAAUUAAUUUGUUCAAGUGAAUUCACGUUAAGGAUUUUCAUGACAUUUUAAAUAUAUAAUAUUGCUGCUUUCUGAUAUUUAAAGAGUUCCAGAGAUAAUUUAAGUAUAAGUAAACCUACCUGGUAUGCCGGUAGGGAUUAAGUGGACUCAUCAAGUACGCUCGUGAGGUAUGAUUGGACCUGCAAGGAUUAAGUUGAGCUAUCCGGUACGCAGGUAGGGAUUAAGUGGACUCAUCCCGUAUGCCGGUGAGGUAUGAUUGGACCUAUAGGGAUUAAGUGAACCUAUCUAGUACGCCGAUAGGGAUUAAGUGGACUCAUCCAAUAUGCCGAUGAAGUAUG
rnacentral:lncRNA from 1 species